GGUGAGUAACACGUAUCCAACCUGCCGAUAACUCGGGGAUAGCCUUUCGAAAGAAAGAUUAAUAUCCGAUAGUAUAUUUUCUCCGCAUGGCGAGAAUAUUAAAGAAUUUCGGUUAUCGAUGGGGAUGCGUUCCAUUAGUUUGUUGGCGGGGUAACGGCCCACCAAGACUACGAUGGAUAGGGGUUCUGAGAGGAAGGUCCCCCACAUUGGAACUGAGACACGGUCCAAACUCC
rnacentral:rRNA from 1 species